rnacentral:misc_RNA from 1 species
CCGAGUUAGGCACUCCAACCCUGUGCACCUACCUCCAACCGUUGUGGGACACACCCUUGCCUUAGCGGCGGGGCGACCCUGCCGUUCGACGCGAGCCCAACCCAACUGUAGUGUCUUGCCAACACUGCAUCUUUGCGUCGGAUUUUAUAAAUGAAAUCA